GUGCCAGCAGCCGCGGUAAUACGGAAGGUGCAAGCGUUGUUCGGAAUGACUGGGCGUAAAGCGCACGUAGGCGGGUUUGUAAGUCGGAUGUGAAAGCCCCAGGCUUAACCUGGGAACAGCACCCGAAACUGCAGAUCUUGAAUGUUUGAGAGGUUGGUGGAAUUCCUGGUGUAGGAGUGAAAUCCGUAGAUAUCAGGAGGAAUAUCGGAGGCGAAGGCGGCCGACUGGCGAAACAUUGACGCUGAGGUGCGAAAGCGUGGGGAGCAAACAGGAUUAGAUACCCUAGUAGUCC
rnacentral:rRNA from 1 species